rnacentral:rRNA from 1 species
CCCUUAGAUGUUCUGGGCCGCACGCGCGCUACACUGAUUCAUGCAACAAGUUUUGUCCUUGGCUGAUAGGCCUGGGUAAUCUUUGAACGUGAAUCGUGAUGGGGAUAGAUGAUUGCAAUUAUUCAUCUUCAACGAGGAAUUCCUAGUAAACGCAAGUCAUCAGCUUGCAUUGAUUACGUCCCUGCCCUUUGUACGCACCGCCCGUCGCACCUACCGAUUGAAUGGUCCGGUGAAAUCUUCGGAUCUGAGAGAUGUCUGAUUAAUUUCGGACGCCUUUUGGAAAAGUUGUUUAAACCUUACCAUUUAGAGGAAGGUGAAGUCGUAACA